GAUGAACGCUGGCGGCGCGCCUAACACAUGCAAGUCGAACGAUUAAAGCACCUUCGGGUGUGUAUAAAGUGGCGAACGGCUGAGUAACACGUGGGCAACCUGCCCCUUUCAUUGGGAUAGCCACGGGAAACCGUGGAUAAUACCGAAUACUUCGAGACUUCCGCAUGGAAGACUCGAGAAAGCUCCGGCGGCGAGGGAUGGGCCCGCGGCCUGUUAGCUUGGUGGUGGGGUAACGGCCUACGAAGGCAAUGAUGGGUAGCUGGGUUGAGAGACCGACCAGCCAGAUUGGGACUGAGACACGGCCCAGACUCCUACGGGAGGCAGCAGUGGGGAAUCUUGCACAAUGGGCGAAAGCCUGAUGCAGCGACGCCGCGUGCGGGAUGAAGGCCUUCGGGUUGUAAACCGCUUUCAGCAGGGACGAGGCGAAAGUGACGGUACCUGCAGAAGAAGCCCCGGCUAACUACGUG
rnacentral:rRNA from 1 species